rnacentral:tRNA from 1 species
GGCCUGGUAGACAAGUGGCAAGUCAAGAGUCUGCAAAACUCUCAUACGGGGGUUCGAUUCCCCCCCAGGCCU